rnacentral:lncRNA from 1 species
GAGUAACAAGCUGUCGUCAUUUACCCACGGUUUUAUCUUUCGGUAUUCUCAGGACAUAUCGUCAUGAUAUCGAUAAGCCAUAUAUACAUUUAUGCAUCGAAUGGACUUCAAAGAUUUUUUAAGGGGAAUUCUAAUUGGUUUAAAAAGUCACGUGUGAAAUCGUCAGAAGUCAAACUACAUAUUGGUCGUUGUUUGAUCUCAUAUGUAGUAUAACGUAAUCAGAGAUCAAUAUUUUAAUUAGAUUGAUAGCUAUUCUACAUUCCGUAGUAGUCGGCAGUGGCAGCGGCAUCAGCGUCCACAAAUAUUCACUCUGUGGUUAAAGUUUUUUGAAAUUUAAUAACUUUCUUAAACUAUCCAGGAUUUCUACCACACUUGGACAGAAGGUUGUUUAUGAUCAUAACAUAGUAUCCAGAAGUAAAUUUUGUGAAAAAAAUCCAUUUUUUCCGUAUUUUACUUAUAUAAAUAUACUUAUUAUUGGGCCAUUCCAGUUAAUAUCUGAUAGAUGGGGGGAUAAGGAGAUUUAUUUCCUAGGUAUCAGAAAAUACAUGUUGAGAAACUGCCCUAUUAGAAUUAAAAAACUAAGACCUGUCAGAUGAAGAGUUUCAGUUCAUAUUUGGUGGGUGGGCUAGUAUAGGAAAAAAAUACCUAUCAGAAGUUGUUAAUGCUAUUGACAUGCCCAUCAGUAUUUUUC